rnacentral:lncRNA from 1 species
AAUGGUGGAAUGGAUGGGGAGAAUGCAAAUGGUGUAAUUGAAAACGGUGAGAACUCAAGCAAGGAAAAGGGAAGUGAUGUGAUGGCAUUCGAUGAUGCUGUUAUAGCAAACCUCCAAAUGCAGUUUGAGAAAGUUGCAGCUGAAGUUGGUAUGGAUAACAGAGCUGGAAGCCCUCUCGAGCUCGGUGAAGUGGAAGGCAAUGGUCAUUUACCCAAGAAGAGGAAGAGAUC